rnacentral:lncRNA from 1 species
UGAGGGGGCAGGUAUGGGGCAAGCACCCUGAGAGGAACCACUUUGGUGUUUCCAAUGCCUAAUAAGGCAAAGGGGUCCCUUCGCUGCACAGCUGUGGCCACUAAGAUGUUCUGGAAUGUCGUGCUCAGCCCUGCCCAAUAGUUGUUGUCAUCAUAAUCGGGUCAGAGAACAGCAUGGGAGCCCUGCCACCUCCAGCCUGUGAGCUUCAGAGUGGUCUGGCAGCCACCACUCAGCCCUCAUGUGCUUGGGGAGGAGGCUGGGUACCACCUGCAGCCUUCUCCUGUGCUGGGAUUUCAGAUGGCCCCUUAUGUCUAGGGUCGUGCUUCAGCCCUUUUGAAACUCUAGUGACGCUGAGCCACCCCAGUACCUAGCAGCAAGAUGCAUGGGUUCCAACAUGGAGCCACCACAGAGAUUCGACCUUCAGGCUCCGUGUUUUGGGAACUGCUUACUGCUGAGACGGAAUUUAAGAGCCAGCUCACACUGAGUAACGCCCAAAACAGAUUCCCUCCCAUUUUCCAUCUUGCUUUUACCAGGUGCCUCCAAAAUUAAAGAAAAGCAAAAAAGAAACUUCCAUUAUAUCACGCUGCAAUGGUUAAACACACCAGAAAUUACAGAAAUAUGGCAAAAUAAUUAUUGGAGGUUUCAAAUGUAUAAAUGUUACUGUUAAUUUUAUUAGGUAAGAUAACGAAAAUGUAGGGAAAUGUCUGCAUCUGCAUUAAAAUGCUUCAGCAAAAAGAAAAGAUUUUUUAAAAUGGCAAAAUGUCAACAAUUGUUAAACCAAAAUUUACAGGUGAUAAUUACACUAUUUCUGUACUUUUCUGCAAAUCUGAAAAAUGUAAAAGGGAAGGUUUUUGCUUAAAAAAAGGCAAUUCUCGGGGCUGGCCCUGUGGCUGAGCGGUUAAGUUCGCGUGCUCCGCUGCAGGUGGCCCAGUGUUUCGUUGGUUUGAAUCCUGGGCGUGGACAUGGCACUGCUCAUCAAACCACGCUGAGGCAGCAUCCCACAUGCCACAACUAGAAGGACCCACAACGAAGAAUAUACAACUAUGCACUGGGGGGCUUUGGGGAGAAAAAGGAAAAAAUAAAAUCUUAAAAAAAAAAAACA